GCCGAGUCCAGUAACGUGGGCUUGUGACCUUAGUGGGGCAUGAAAUUGAUGGGACAUUAAUUUAGCACCAGCGGGUUGGAUUCAUUUGGCUAACCUCUGGCCUGCCCGUUCCAAGCUGAGAGUUGACUCCUGUGGCUCAAGCGAAGGCUUGAACUACAGGAAUCGUGGAGUGGAGGACACCGCGUCAGGCUGGUUUCACAGAGCAGCGACCACCUCCCGCUCCUGGCAGUGGAAGGAUAACAGGCCGGUGCCACUUGGAUCCGUAUGGCCCCAUGGGCUGAUCUAAUUGGACCACCAUUUUU
rnacentral:SRP_RNA from 1 species